rnacentral:rRNA from 1 species
GAGCAGUGGGGAAUCUUGGACAAUGGGGGCAACCCUGAUCCAGCCAUGCCGCGUGAGUGAUGAAGGCCCUAGGGUCGUAAAGCUCUUUCGCCUGUGAAGAUAAUGACUGUAGCAGGUAAAGAAACCCCGGCUAACUCCGUGCCAGCAGCCGCGGUAAUACGGAGGGGGUUAGCGUUGUUCGGAAUUACUGGGCGUAAAGCGCGCGUAGGCGGACUGGAAAGUUGGGGGUGAAAUCCCAGGGCUCAACCCUGGAACUGCCUCCAAAACUAUCAGUCUAGAGUUCGAGAGAGGUGAGUGGAAUUCCGAGUGUAGAGGUGAAAUUCGUAGAUAUUCGGAGGAACACCAGUGGCGAAGGCGGCUCACUGGCUCGAUACUGACGCUGAGRUGCGAAAGUGUGGGGAGCAAACAGGAUUAGAUACCCUGGUAGUCCACACCGUAAACGAUGUAUGCCAGUCGUCGGGUGGCAUGCUAUUCGGUG